AACACAUGCAAGUCGAACGGUAACAGGAAGCAUCUUGCUGCUUUGCUGACGAGUGGCGGACGGGUGAGUAAUGUCUGGGAAACUGCCUGAUGGAGGGGGAUAACUACUGGAAACGGUAGCUAAUACCGCAUAACGUCGCAAGACCAAAGAGGGGGACCUUCGGGCCUCUUGCCAUCGGAUGUGCCCAGAUGGGAUUAGCUAGUAGGUGGGGUAACGGCUCACCUAGGCGACGAUCCCUAGCUGGUCUGAGAGGAUGACCAGCCACACUGGAACUGAGACACGGUCCAGACUCCUACGGGAGGCAGCAGUGGGGAAUAUUGCACAAUGGGCGCAAGCCUGAUGCAGCCAUGCCGCGUGUAUGAAGAAGGCCUUCGGGUUGUAAAGUACUUUCAGCGGGGAGGAAGGGAGUAAAGUUAAUACCUUUGCUCAUUGACGUUACCCGCAGAAGAAGCACCGGCUAACUCCGUGCCAGCAGCCGCGGUAAUACCGAGGGUGCAAGCGUUAAACGGAAUUACUGGGCGUAAAGCGCACGCAGGCGGGUUUGUUAAGUCAGAUGUGAAAUCCCCGGGCUCAAACCUGGGAACUGCAUCUGAUACUGGCAAGCUUGAGUCUCGUAGAGGGGGGUAGAAUUCCAGGUGUAGCGGUGAAAUGCGUAGAGAUCUGGAGGAAUACCGGUGGCGAAGGCGGCCCCCUGGACGAAGACUGACGCUCAGGUGCGAAAGCGUGGGGAGCAAACAGGAUUAGAUACCCUGGUAGUCCACGCCGUAAACGAUGUCGACUUGGAGGUUGUGCCCUUGAGGCGUGGCUCCCGGAGCUAACGUGUUAAGUCGACCGCCUGGGGAGUACGGCCGCAAGGUUAAAACUCAAAUGAAUUGACGGGGGCCCGCACAAGCGGUGGAGCAUGUGGUUUAAUUCGAUGCAACGCGAAGAACCUUACCUGGUCUUGACAUCCACGGAAGUUUUCAGAGAUGAGAAUGUGCCUUCGGGAACCGUGAGACAGGUGCUGCAUGGCUGUCGUCAGCUCGUGUUGUGAAAUGUUGGGUUAAGUCCCGCAACGAGCGCAACCCUUAUCCUUUGUUGCCAGCGGUCCGGCCGGGAACUCAAAGGAGACUGCCAGUGAUAAACUGGAGGAAGGUGGGGAUGACGUCAAGUCAUCAUGGCCCUUACGACCAGGGCUACACACGUGCUACAAUGGCGCAUACAAAGAGAAGCGACCUCGCGAGAGCAAGCGGACCUCAUAAAGUGCGUCGUAGUCCGGAUUGGAGUCUGCAACUCGACUCCAUGAAGUCGGAAUCGCUAGUAAUCGUGGAUCAGAAUGCCACGGUGAAUACGUUCCCGGGCCUUGUACACACCGCCCGUCACACCAUGGGAGUGGGUUGCAAAAGAAGUAGGUAGCUUAACCUUCGGGAGGGCGCUUACCACUUUGUGAUUCAUGACUGGGGUGAAGUAGU
rnacentral:rRNA from 1 species